AUCCACUUGUCAAUACACAAUAGUCAUACACUCAUGCAUAAUAAUUUAUAAUAAUAAAGAAAUCAGAAAGUAAUACAUAUCAACAAUAAAUUGUUGAUAUUUGUAUUUAAACAAAAUUAGAUUUUAGAAUUUUAUGUUUUAUUUUUGUAUUUUGUUGAACCAAAAAAAUAUAAAUUAUAAAUUAUGAUUAGUUAACCCCUUUUAGUGCACUCGAGAAAUUAAUGUUUUAUAAAAAAGAUAAAUUCUAUUUUUAUUGUGUUUUUGCAAAUUAUCAAAAUUAAAUAGCUAGUCAAACCCAACCAUUUGGAGUCAGCCAAUUUACAUACAAAUUUCAACCCAUCCAAUAAUUGCUUAUUGUCCUGUUCCUCUAAACUUAUACUUUGUUGUUCUACUUGUCCUCAGUCAGUUUCCUUUAAGUGUUAUUCUCUAUUCCUCAAAAAUUCCUCUAUUACUUUAUUCCAGAUUUUCUCUUAUCAAAGCUAUAUCAUCUGCAAACUUCAUGCACCAUGGUACCUCCUCUCAUCAGUUGUCCUUGCUCAUAUCAGAAAUUGUUUUACAUUAUUUUACCAUGUGGAAUCUUAAGAUAUUAAUAUUGUUAAAAAAAUACACAAUAAUUGUUAACUAAAUGAAACUUUUCAUUUGGUUUAUUUUGUAUACAACUUAAAUAAAAAAAGAACCUAUUUUAUUUUCUGUCAUGUUAAAUUAUUUUAUUUAUUUGGUUAUUUUCAAAAGAAACACAUUACAUGUACUCUUAAAUAAAAACUGAUUUAUUUUUUAAUAAUAUUGAAUAUACUAUAUAUUAUGUAUAUAUAUAUAUAUUAUAUUUUACUCAAAAGUAAAUAAUGAAAUAUUUCAGUCUACAGGAAUAACGUUGUUGUGUUAAAUAUUAUUAAUAAUAACUAUUGACGCAAUAUAUUUUUCAAAACAAUUGUACUGAAUAUCAGAAAAUAUUUUUUUGAAUAAGACUUUUUAAUAACUUAAGUUUAUACUCUAGUUUUUGUUCUACAUACAUAUAUAGGUAC